AUUAGAGUUUGAUCCUGGCUCAGAUUGAACGCUGGCGGCAGGCCUAACACAUGCAAGUCGAGCGGAUGAAGGGAGCUUGCUCCCGGAUUCAGCGGCGGACGGGUGAGUAAUGCCUAGGAAUCUGCCUGGUAGUGGGGGACAACGUUCCGAAAGGAGCGCUAAUACCGCAUACGUCCUACGGGAGAAAGCGGGGGAUCUUCGGACCUCACGCUAUCAGAUGAGCCUAGGUCGGAUUAGCUAGUAGGUGGGGUAAUGGCUCACCUAGGCGACGAUCCGUAACUGGUCUGAGAGGAUGAUCAGUCACACUGGAACUGAGACACGGUCCAGACUCCUACGGGAGGCAGCAGUGGGGAAUAUUGGACAAUGGGCGAAAGCCUGAUCCAGCCAUGCCGCGUGUGUGAAGAAGGUCUUCGGAUUGUAAAGCACUUUAAGUUGGGAGGAAGGGCAGUAAGUUAAUACCUUGCUGUUUUGACGUUACCAACAGAAUAAGCACCGGCUAACUUCGUGCCAGCAGCUGCGGUAAUACGAAGGGUGUAAGCGUUAAUCGGAAUUACUGGGCGUAAAGCGCGCGUAGGUGGUUUGGUAAGAUGGAUGUGAAAUCCCCGGGCUCAACCUGGGAACUGCAUCCAUAACUGCCUGACUAGAGUACGGUAGAGGGUGGUGGAAUUUCCUGUGUAGCGGUGAAAUGCGUAGAUAUAGGAAGGAACACCAGUGGCGAAGGCGACCACCUGGACUGAUACUGACACUGAGGUGCGAAAGCGUGGGGAGCAAACAGGAUUAGAUACCCUGGUAGUCCACGCCGUAAACGAUGUCGACUAGCCGUUGGGAUCCUUGAGAUCUUAGUGGCGCAGCUAACGCGAUAAGUCGACCGCCUGGGGGAGUACGGCCGCAAGGUUAAAACUCAAUGAAUUGACGGGGGCCCGCACAGGCGGUGGGAGCAUGUGGUUAAUUCGAA
rnacentral:rRNA from 1 species